GGCGUGGGCGUAGGAAAUCUGAGGAGAGCUGUCCUUAGUACGAGAGGACCGGGAUGGACGGACCGCUGGUGUAUCUGUUGCAUUACCAAGUGCAUGGCAGAGUAGCCAAGUCCGGCAGGGAUAAACGCUGAAGGCAUCUAAGCGUGAAGCCCCCUUCAAGAUAAGAUUUCCCAUGACAUAAAGUCAGUAAGACCCCUUGAAGACGACGAGGUAGAUAGGUGGAAGGUGGAAGUGCAGCAAUGCAUGGAGCUGAGCCAUACUAAUCGGUCGAGGGCUUGUCUUU
rnacentral:rRNA from 1 species